UAGUGAUUAUAUUAAAUUCUUAUGGCUACCGUAACAAAUAACCACCAACUGGGUGGCUGGAAACAAGAGAAAUGUGUUCUCUCACAGUUCAGGUGGCCAGAAGUCCAGACUUAAGGUAU